GAACGCACCGCAAGGUGAGUGGCAGACGGGUGAGUAACGCGUGGGAACCUUCCCUGUGGUACGGAAUAACUUCGGGAAACCGAAGCUAAUACCGUAUAUCUCCUCCGGGAGAAAGAUUUAUCGCCAUAGGAUGGGCCCGCGUUGGAUUAGCUAGUUGGUAGGGUAAUGGCCUACCAAGGCAACGAUCCAUAGCUGGUCUGAGAGGAUGAUCAGCCACACUGGGACUGAGACACGGUCCAGACUCCUACGGGAGGCAGCAGUGGGGAAUUUUUGGCAAUGGGGGAAACCCUGACCAAGCAACGCCGCGUGGGUGAUGAAGUCUCUUGGGACGUAAAACCCUUUCGACGGGGAAGAAACCGCAAGGUUGACGGUACCCGUAGAAGAAGCCCCGGCUAACUCCGUG
rnacentral:rRNA from 1 species